rnacentral:lncRNA from 1 species
CAUACACAAGGCAUGCCUCAUAAUAUAGAUGAUUAUUUCUUUUCUGAGAAAAGGUAGCAUGCUACCGCUUCAUUAAUACAAGGCAUGCCUGAUAAUAUAGAUGAUUAUUUUUUUUUUAGAAAAGGUAGCAUGCUACCGCUUCAAUAAUAUAGAUGAUUAUUCAUUAAUACAGUUAUACCGUUUUAAAAUGUAGAUAAAUAUAGCUAGAAAUAUUAAUUAAGCAACUAUGUUUCAAACUUAAAACCACGAAUGCUAACUAUUAAGCUCUUUAUCCGCCGUAGAGAUACGAU